AUUGAACGCUGGCGGCAGGCUUAACACAUGCAAGUCGAGCGAGCGGCGGACGGGUGAGUAAUGUAUGGGGAACUGCCUGAUAGAGGGGGAUAACUACUGGAAACGGUAGCUAAUACCGCAUACCAUCGGAUGUACCCAUAUGGGAUUAGCUAGUAGGUGGGGUAAGGGCUCACCUAGGCGACGAUCCCUAGCUGGUCUGAGAGGAUGAACAGCCACACUGGGACUGAGACACGGCCCAGACUCCUACGGGAGGCAGCAGUGGGGAAUAUUGCACAAUGGGCGCAAGCCUGAUGCAGCCAUGCCGCGUGUAUGAAGAAGGCCUUCGGGUUGUAAAGCACUUUCAGCGAGGAGGCGUUACCCGCAGAAGAAGCACCGGCUAACUCCGUGCCAGCAGCCGCGGUAAUUC
rnacentral:rRNA from 1 species